rnacentral:lncRNA from 1 species
UCAAGGACUCACGGGAAGAUAUCACAACACAACUCUAGACACAAAUUAAAAUAAUACAAGCUUUAUAUUACAAGCCAGGGACCUCGAGGGCUCGAAUACAUAAGCUCGAAAACACAAGAGUCAGCGGAAGCAACAAAUAUCUGAGUACAGACAUGAGUUAAACAAGAAUGCCUUAAGAAGGCUAGCACAAAAACAACAAUGAUCGAAAAGGCAAGGCCUCCUGCCUGGGAGCCUCCUAACUACUCCAAGUCGUCAGCGGCCGUCACGUAGUAGUAGGCAUCCUUCGGGUAGUAGUAGUAGUCAUCAGUGGCGUCGUCUGACUCCUGGGCUCCGUCAUCUGGUCGCAACAAUCGGGUAUGGGGGAAAAGAAGUAGCAAAGAAACUGUGAGUACUCAUCCAAAGUACUCGCAAGACUUACAUCGGAUCUAAACUAAGUAUGCAUCUGUAUCAAAAGAAUGGGUUGUGUCUAUGGACUAAACUACAGAAUGUCAGAAGCGAAGGGGAAAGCCUAGCCUAUCGAAGACUAGCAUCUUCUGGAAAACCACCAUCUUGCAACAACAGGAAGGAGUAGAGUAGCAUAAAGUAAAGUAGUAGAAGUGUUAUCAACCUCGGCCAGAGAUCCUUUCUCGACUCCCUGCGAGAAAGCAAUCCCAGAGCCAUACUAUCCAAGUGUCAUCACAAUCCAAUUCUCAUCACCAUCCAGUUCUCAUCACAAGUAUCCAGUUCUAGUUGUAUUGACCGGGAUACAACUCCAAGUGUCCGUUACCGUAGGACAGGCUAUCGAUAGAUGUUUUCUUCCCUGCAGGGGUGCACCAACUUACACACCACGCUCGAUUAACUCCGGCCGGACACACUUUCCUGGGUCAUGCCCGGCCUCGGCCAAACAAUACGCCGCAACCCGACCUAGGCUUAAUAGAGAGGCCAGCAUGCCGGACUAAACCUAUGCCCCCAGGGGUCAUGGGCCAUCUCCCGGGGAACUCUUGCACGUUGCGUGGGCGGCCGGUGAGCAGACCUAGCUACCUCCUUCAACAAGGUAGGUGCUUUCUAGUCCAACCCGGCGCGCGCCGCUCAGUCGCUGACGUCUAUUAAGCUUCGGCUGAUGUAUAAGACGCAUAACGCCCAUGCUAUGCCCACGUGAUGGUUAGUGCUAUCAGGCCAGAGGCCCCUCGGAUCAAAUAUCCAAAUCGUAGUGGAUUAGGAACGCGCGGUAACGAGCAGAGACUCACGAUCGAUGUGACCUCGUCGCCUCGUCUCGAGUACUUGCGGCAAGGUCUAAGAAUGCCCGGCCAUGCCUCGUAAGUAUCUCGCGGGCACCUCCCAGGUCAACCCGACUCCACAUCACUCGCAAUUAAGCUCGCGCGGGUACCCCUCAGGGUCGACCCGUCUUUAGUAACAUGGCUCAGUGUAAAGUCAUAGUAACCAUAGUAACUGUGUGUCUAACACCAAGGGGAAAACCCAAGGAAUCACCCCCGGUGAAUCCCACUUGAUGUUAUCAUCAAGGUGAACAUAAGAGGAUCCACCCUCGAGGUUCACACUUGAGGGGUUGCACGACAGAGCGGUAACGAAAGUGGUUAAGGAAGAAAUCACCCUCUAUGACCUCGACCGUAUAGCUAUACUACAGAGAUCUCAUCAGGAGUGAUGUAUGAGGUUCACCCUCGGCACUCGAUUGUAACUCUGUAGUGUCGUACAACUAGGGGGUGAUCUGCGGUGUCGGGGCCUGGACGUCGAUCACGUUGAUCGAGUCAUCGAACAUAAAGCGAGGCAACUGGGACAAGGCGGGGGGGUCACUGAUGGAUCACUAACCAACCUAUACUAAGCAGUUUAGGAUAAGCAUGUAAGGUAUGAAAGCGGGUAACAACAACAGGCUAUGCAUCAGAGUAGGAUCAUACAGAAAGCAGUAGCAGUUCUAAUGCAAGCAUGAGAGGGAAAGAAAUGGGCGAUAUCGGAAUGCUCAAGGGGGGUUUGCUUGCCUGGUUGCUCUAGCAAGAAGGAGGGGUCAUCUUCGAUGUAGUCGAACACACGGACAUCGGUAGCGGUCUCGGAGUCUACCGGAAAGGAGUAACGGAGGGGGAACACAAUAAAUAACAGAGCAAGCAAAGCAACACAAAGCAUAACAUGGCAAUGCGCGGUGCUUGGAGUGACCUAACGCAGUACGAGGUGAUACCGGUGAAGGGGGAAAACAUCCGAGAAAAUAUCCCCGGCGUUUCGGGUUUUCAGACAGAUGAAUCGGAGGGGAAAGUUGCAUGCUUGCUAUGCUAGGGUUGCGUGGCGGACGAACGGGCUGCGUAUCCGGGUUCGUCUCGUCGUUCUGAGCAACUUUCAUGUACAAAGUUUUUCAUCCGAACUGAGGUUUAUUUUAUAAUGAUUUUUCAAAGUUUAAUUGAAUUCUUAGGAUUAUUAUAUUUAACUUAAACCGAAUUGACUAAGUUAAUUUUGACUUGUCAAAGGGCAGGUGUGGCCCACAUGUCAUAGACUAUUUAUCUAAACAAUUAAACAAAUCUAACUUAUUUAAAAGGGCCUACAUGUCAUCUACUACUAGACUAACUUAACACUAAUUAAACCUAGUAGUACUAAUCUAAGCUAGGGCCGGCCAUUAAUGGGCAUAGCCCAGCCGGCCACACGCAUGAUGCACACAUACACACACAGGAGCACACGGCCAUGGCCAACUGUACGCACACACACUAUGCAGAACACACACUCACCCACACAUAGCUCUGUUUUCUGCUAACAAAAGAUAGCAUUUUGUGAUUUUCAUAGAAUUUAAUCCAUGCAUCAAAAGGGUUUGGUCCAGUGGGAUAAAAUGGAGUUUGUCAAGUAUACUUUCUACUCAUAUUAUUUUUAGCCUUGUUAACAGUUGUUUAAUCGCUGUUUAGGUGCUGCCCAGGGGGUUACUCAUUGUAGAUUUAGCAAAGCUAACUACAUCUACAGUAGCUGGUAGUAGUACUCGUAGAGGAGUGGUGGCUUCGUAGAGGAGUGGUGGCUGGGCAGAGCCGUGGCGCGGGUGGGCCAAGCGCAGUAGCGCGCGUGCGGGCGCGCGGCCGGCGCGGGGCACGCAAGGGCAGCGGCCGGAGGCGAGGCGGAACGAGAUGCGAACGCGGCGUCGCGAGCGGCUGCAGGGCCUGACGACAGCAACAGCAAAGCAGCAGCUGCACCAGCACAACAGCAUGCACAGGCAGCAAGCAUCUGCAGAGCAGAGCGGGCGCGGUAGAUGGGCCGGGCGCGCGGCCGGAGCUGUGACGACGCGGCCCGGGCGUAGCAGGGGGGGUUGUGGGCGAGCGCGUCGAUGGGCGCGGCCGCGGCGACUGCGGCCAGGGCCAGGAGCGACGACGAGGUGGGCUACGUCUUACGAGGAGGCAAGAGGGGAGAGGGGUUGGAUGGUGCGCUCACCGGGCGGCUCAAGAAGGCCUGUGAGAGUUUAGUAGUGCAUGAGGGUGACGGAGCGGCUCGGCGCAGCUCCGGCGAGGAAGGCGUGGUCGAGGUCGUUCCCGAGGACGCGGUCGCUCCCGACUGGUUCCAGCGGCCGGAGUCGAAGUAGAGGACGGCGCCGCACCUAGCGGACAUGAUCGUAGAGCACGGUGAGGCGCGUGGGCGCCGGCGUUCACGGCCACAGUUGUGGAUCUGGGGGAAGAGAGGGAGGGCGCAGGAGUGGGGAAAAUAUCUGGUGGGGGAAGGGGAGCUGACGAAGCCGAUGGGACUCUGCCUUAUCCUCUCAGCGCGGCAGCGACGCGGGGGCGGCGAGCGG